rnacentral:lncRNA from 1 species
CAUUUCAUAUUGGACUCUUAAUUCUUUCCUUUUAUUUCCACGCAUUUUUUUUACUCCACACGCCAUCUGAUGGCUUCUGGAGAUUUGUUGGCAUAGAAGUGGAGGAGUCCUUCUGCAUGAAGGCUCUUCCAUACCCAUUACUUUCCAUAUAGGAGAAUUUAAUCUUUGUGGAAAACUAUAGGACGUCGCACAGGAUGUGUUUGCACCAAACGAAUUUCUUCUUCUAAAACUCUUAAUUCUUACAUGCCUAGGAUUAUGGGACCAG